rnacentral:rRNA from 1 species
AUUGAACGCUGGCGGCAUGCCUUACACAUGCAAGUCGAACGGCAGCGGACCUUCGGGUGCCGGCGAGUGGCGAACGGGUGAGUAAUAUAUCGGGAACGUACCUUUCAGUGGGGGAGUAACGUAGCGAAAGUUACGCUAAUACCGCAUAUUCUGUGAGCAGGAAAGCAGGGGAUCGCAAGACCUUGCGCUGAUUGAGCGGCCGAUAUCAGAUUAGCUAGUUGGUGAGGUAAAGGCUCACCAAGGCGACGAUCUGUAGCGGGUCUGAGAGGAUGAUCCGCCACACUGGAACUGAGACACGGUCCAGACUCCUACGGGAGGCAGCAGUGGGGGAAUUUUGGACAAUGGGCGCAAGCCUGAUCCAGCCAUGCCGCGUGAGUGAAGAAGGCCUCGGUUGUAAAGCUCUUUCGCCGGGAAGAAAGUACGCACAGGUUAAUACCCUCGUGUGGAUGACGGUACCGGAAGUAAGAAGCACCGGCUAACUACGUGCCAGCAG